rnacentral:lncRNA from 1 species
CAGCCCCCAGAGCCCGGUGAAGCCACUCUACCUUCCGCUCGCUCUUCGCGUUAAAUUCAGAGACAGUAACAUCAACAGGCCCUUUAAAAACCAUUUUUGUGGAAGAAAAAUCAUUAUUUCCAAACUUCAAGGACAGAGAUCCUCUAGGAUUCUACCCAGUAUUGAGCUUGCAUUCCUGUUGUUUCAUGAGGACAAUGCAGAGGAACUCAUGUGUAUGCUGUGUAUGCAGUGGUUUGGGGUCACAAGUGAGGAAUACUGAGCCUGCAGAAGCCACUGUAUUAAUAGUAAGAUCUAAGCAAGUUUACUUUUUGUCUCCUAUUAGAGACUGUGUUAGUCGACUAUAAUAUAGUACUAUAGACUGAGUAAUUUACAAACAACAGGAAUUUAUUUCUCACAGAUCUGCAGACUGGAGAUCGGAGUGCUGGCAGGGUCUGAUUCUGGUGAAAGCCUGCUUCUAGGUUGCAGACUGCCAGUUUAUCCCUGUGUUCUCACAUGGUGGAAAGAGAGAUACUCUUACUCUAAUAAGGUCACUAAUCUCUUCACGGGGCAUGACCAAAUUAUCUCCCAAAGGCCCCAUAUCCCAAUACCAUAUUAGGGGGUAGGAUUUCAAUAUAUGAAUAUUGGACAAUCCAUAAUACAAACAUUGUCUCAGUGUUCAAGUUUGCCAUUGCAAAGAACCCUGUGAAAUGGUCUAAGUAGAGUGCGUUCAGGGCUUUGCAUUCUUGGCAUACUCAGCAAAUAGAGUAGAUUUGAAUGGCAUGCAGCCUAAGCAUUCAUAUAGGGCCCUGUGCUGUGAAGUGCCUUGUGCUUUUCUGUUAGUUUGUAUUUGGUCCUAUAAAUUAUUUAUCUGGUCUUGCCCAUAAGAACUUAAUGGAAUGUGCAACACCUAUACCAGAUUGCCUUUCCCAACAGCCAUCACCCUACACAAGUUCUCAGUCACUUCUACCUUAAUUACAUUAUUAAGGUUUUUAGUAGUUUUUCUACUUGUAGUUUUGUCCUCCUGUACAAUGUUAAACUAAAUUUAAAUUCAAAUUCAAUACUAUAUUACUUGUGAAUCCAUUAUCCUUGGAUUUCAAAUAUUACCUAAUAACACUGAAUCUGUUUCCAGCCUUCCCCUACUAUAAACACACAGACGAUAUAUAUUUCAGUAAUGCACAACUACUCUGUUUUCCUUGAAUGUAAUUCUUUCUGCAUUACUUCAGAUAUUCCUAAAAGCAGAUUUUGAGAUAGGAUUAGAUAUACAUGAGAUUUAAUGGGAGAAUUGCUUCUGAGAGAGAAAUCAGAAGAAACUGGAAAAGGUGGGGAAAAUGAUUAGACUUUUUGUAGGUCUGGACACUUAACACAUCCCUAUUAAGUUCUACCUAUUGUUUAUUAGUUUAUGAGGUAUAAUGAAUUUCCAGAAUUAAUUGUCUGAGCAUCAUUUUCCCCCCUUUGAAAGAUCAUAUUUCUUCUUCUAAGAAAGAAUUGUAUGUACAACAUACACUAAUAUGACAAAUUCGAUUUCAGUAUUUAGGAAACAAAAUUAAUUUU